GGAUCAAUCUAUCGGUCGUGCAAUAGUACGUACUGAUUUUAUUGAUUCCUACCUUCUGAUGAACUAUGAUGUCAUUAAUUUGGUGUCAUAGGGAAUCAGGACUGUUACUUUGAAAAAAUUAGAGUGUUUAAAGCAGGCCUACGCUUGAAUACAUUAGCAUGGAAUAAUAGAAUAGGACUU
rnacentral:rRNA from 1 species